GGAGGAGUGUCCGAGUGGUUUAAGGAGGCGGUCUUGAAAACCGUUGUACCGCAAGGUACCGUGGGUUCGAAUCCCUCCUCCUCCGCCA
rnacentral:tRNA from 1 species